AUCAGAUGUGCCCAGAUGGGAUUAGCUAGUAGGUGGGGUAACGGCUCACCUAGGCGACGAUCCCUAGCUGGUCUGAGAGGAUGACCAGCCACACUGGAACUGAGACACGGUCCAGACUCCUACGGGAGGCAGCAGUGGGGAAUAUUGCACAAUGGGCGCAAGCCUGAUGCAGCCAUGCCGCGUGUGUGAAGAAGGCCUUCGGGUUGUAAAGCACUUUCAGCGGGGAGGAAGGCGUUAAGGUUAAUAACCUUGGCGAUUGACGUUACCCGCAGAAGAAGCACCGGCUAACUCCGUGCCAGCAGCCGCGGUAAUACGGAGGGUGCAAGCGUUAAUCGGAAUUACUGGGCGUAAAGCGCACGCAGGCGGUCUGUCAAGUCGGAUGUGAAAUCCCCGGGCUCAACCUGGGAACUGCAUUCGAAACUGGCAGGCUAGAGUCUUGUAGAGGGGGGUAGAAUUCCAGGUGUAGCGGUGAAAUGCGUAGAGAUCUGGAGGAAUACCGGUG
rnacentral:rRNA from 1 species